rnacentral:rRNA from 1 species
AAACUAACAAGGAUUUCCCCAGUAGUGGCGAACGACCGGGAAUUAGCCCAGCACCGAAUCCUGUAUUUUACGAUACUAGGAAUUGUGGUGUAAAGGUUGUGUUUUUAAGUAUUGAAUGUAUUCCAGAUUCACUUGAUUGUGAUGUAGUCCAGAGAGGGUGUUAGACCCGUGGGAAUAUGUUUUGGUAUUUAUUGAUGCUUCCUAUGAGUCGGAUUGUUUGAGAAUGCAGUCCAAAUUGGGUGGUAAACUCCAUCUAAGGCUAAAUACUUGUGUGAGUCCGAUAGCAAACAAGUACCGUGAGGGAAAGUUGAAAAGAACUUUGAAGAAAGAGUUAAAUAGUACGUGAAAUUGCUUAGAGGUAAACGAGUGGAGCCGAAGAUGUUAUAUGGGAUUCAGUUUGUAGUAUUUUAUUUUAAAUAUUGUGGUAUCCGUAAGGAAUUGCUUUAUUUAAUCAUUAAAAUAUUAUGAAUGCACUUUCUAUAUAACAAUACUGCGAUCAAUAACGGUAUUUUUCUGUCGUUAGUCUGAAGGUUAUCAUUUCCUUUGGUUUUGAUAUUAUAGCUGCUGACAUGGUUAAAUAUUAUAUUGGUGAUUGCGAUAAAUAAAUUUUGUUAAUAUAUUAUUUAAACUUUUUAUUGAUGGACUUUUUAUAAGACUAUUAAUGAAUAUUUAAGUAAUAUAUUAAUGAAGUAUUAGAUAUCAAAAUCUGCAGUGUAUGUAGGUAACCUACUUGUCCCGUCUUGAAACACGGACCAAGGAGUUUUAUAUGAUCGCGAGUCAAAGGGCUGUACGAAACCCCACGGCGUAAUUAAUGUAAAGGUUUACUUCUGUAAACUGUGAUGUGACCUUGAUUGGUGUUCCCAGUUGAGUGCAACAUCGACCCGUCUAAAGAUGUUCGCAUCUGGGCGGAGUUUGAGCGAUCAUGUAGAGACCCGAAAGAUGGUGAACUAUGCUUGUGCAAGUUGAAGUCAGAGGAAACUCUGAUGGAAGACUGCAGCGGUUCUGACGUGCAAAUCGAUCGUCGGACAUGAGUAUAGGGGCGAAAGACUAAUCGAACCAUCUAGUAGCUGGUUCCCUCCGAAGUUUCCCUCAGGAUAGCUGGCAUUUGAUAUUGUAGUGACACCCGGUAAAGCGAAUGAUUAGAAGUAUUGGGGGCGAAAAGCUCUCAACUUAUUCUCAAACUUUAAAUGGGUACGAUGUUUUUCUCUCUUCAUUGGAGAUUGACGUUGUAUACAAGUGCCUAGUGGGCCAUUUUUGGUAAGCAGAACUGGCGAUGUGGGAUGAACCAAACAUCUGGUUAAGGUGCCUAACAUUACGCUCAUAAGACACCACAAAAGUCGUUGGUUGAUAAAGACAGCAGGACGGUGGACAUGGAAGUCGUCAUCCGCUAAGGAGUGUGUAACAACUCACCUGCCGAAUCAACCAGCUCUGAAAAUGGAUGGCGCUGUAGCGUGAGACCUAUACCGGAUCGAUGUUGUAAAGUUUCUUUUGAAACGAGUAAGCAAUGUCGUGUAGGAGGGUGCUGUGGUUGCUGAAAGCAUAGGCGUGAGUUUAUGUGGAGCGACCACGGGUACAGAUCUGGUAG